CGCAUCCAAAAAAAAAAAAAACACAGAGCCGCGAAAUGCCGAGACAGAGAUAGCAAUUGGAUUUUGAGGGUCCUUCACCAUUCUCUUUGAUUUUCGGGUUGUGGCCUACUUCCUCUCAAAAGAGAUGAAGUGGAAUACUCUAAUUUCAUCACAGCAAAGACCCCAGCUUCUUUUCCAAUUUCCUCCUUUAGUAACCCACGGAUUAUUUUCUGCUUU